rnacentral:rRNA from 1 species
GACGAACGCUGGCGGCGUGCUUAACACAUGCAAGUCGAACGGAAAGGCCCUGCUUUUGUGGGGUGCUCGAGUGGCGAACGGGUGAGUAACACGUGAGUAACCUGCCCUUGACUUUGGGAUAACUUCAGGAAACUGGGGCUAAUACCGGAUAGGAGCUCCUGCUGCAUGGUGGGGGUUGGAAAGUUUCGGCGGUUGGGGAUGGACUCGCGGCUUAUCAGCUUGUUGGUGGGGUAGUGGCUUACCAAGGCUUUGACGGGUAGCCGGCCGGGGAGGGGGACCGGCUACUGGGAGACGGCGAGACGGCCCACAGUCGGGGGGGGGGGGGCAGAGGGACAUAGCGAACGCUGCGCGGACGCCGGCGGAGGAAGCGGGGGGGGCGGGCGGAGGGCUCUCGGGUGGUACCCCGCGGUCGCCGGUGCGGAAGCGUGAGAGACGGUAAGGGGAAAAGAGGCACCGGGUAACUACGUACAAGAGGACGCGGUAAUAAUGAGACGCGCACCCGCCUCAAG